UGUUUCAUUUGACAGAAUUUGCAAAUUACAUUUUUCCCCCUCAGAAUAACUCACAGUGUGGAAAUGCUUCCAUAUGCUACAAGUUGUUCUCAUCAUUUGCUGAAGGGAAAACAAAAAGAAGAGAACCGUAGUUGAGUUUGUGACUUGCAGAAAGCAUCCAGCUAUAGCAAGUUCACACUUAGCGGUGGCCUUUCGUGGAUCCAGCGCCAGCCACUGGUGCCUCACUCCCUGCCAAAGCCUGCAGUCAUCACGACAAGAAUGUAGCAGCUUCCAGGUCCUGAGUGAACAAAAACCUCAAGUAAAUGAAAACGUGUCUCCUUCCUUUCAUGUCGGAAAAUGGCCAUGGUCCUUUGAGGCAAAGGUACGCAGAAGGGCAUGGCUACAAAGAGGCAAAGACACACAUUCUGGAAGCGUCAGCUGAGAUGACCCGAGAAACUAGACACCUGCUGACAGACGGGGAUCAUGAGCCCUUCAGUGAGAUACAUUUUACAAUGAAAACCUUUCGCAUCACAGUGGAAGGAAACUGAUCCCCUGAACGAUACCUGAGUAUUACAAUUACCAUCAAAAGGUAUGAAGACUUUUUGGUGGGGGGAACAAAGCAAUCAGCAACUUCUGCUGUUGCUUGGGCAGAGGAGUGUUACAGGAUUUUUCUGUCGCUUCAAGAGAGACAGAAAAACUCUGGAAUUAAAGUGGUGAUCAUUCUGUACCCUGCACAUCACAGUAGUGCUAUUGGCUGGUGAUAAGAGCAAAUAUACCUGGAAUUGCUUCUGAGUAUUAGAAAGAACUUGGCUCCUUGAGACCAGUGACUCCAUCCUGGGUUGUGACCAAGCAGUUGAGGAGAGAGCUAACUGGCCUACAAUAAU
rnacentral:lncRNA from 1 species